rnacentral:rRNA from 1 species
ACUCAAAGGAAUUGACGGGGGAGCGCACAACCGGUGGAGCAUGUGGUUUAAUUCGAUACAAAGCGAAAAACCUUACCUAGAUUUGACAUGUACCUGCACGGCUUAGGAAACUAGGCCUUCUUCGAGAGUGGUACACAGGUGUUGCAUGGCUGUCGUCAGCUCGUGUCGUGAGGCGUCCACUUAAGUGUGGUAACGAGCGCAACCCUUAUCUCGUGUUACAAGUGUCACGAGAGACUGCCCUGCUUUUUGCAGGGAGGAAGGAGAGGAUGACGUCAAGUCAGCACGACCCUUACAUCUAGGGCUACACACAUCCUACAAUGGAGCCGACAACGGGAAGCAAUAUCGCAAGAUGGAGCUAAUCCUUAAACGGCCCCUCAGUUCAGAUUGUGGGCUGCAAUCCGCCCACAUGAAGUCGGAAUCGGUAGUAAUCGCAAAUCAGCAGGUUGCGGUGAAUACGUUCUCGCUCCUUGUACACACCGCCCGU